UACAGAGUAUUAAAACAUAGGUUUUCAGAAUAAAAAGCGUGCAUAAUAAAAUGACAAAAAGGCCCUUGAGAAAACAUGAAUUCGAGCAUAUAGGCGACGCGCAGCGACCUCGGCAAGUCGCUCCAGCACGUCGCUCUGGGCUUCGGGAGCGACCUCAGGGUGUCGCUGCGAGAGGUCGCUCCGGCUUCAGUUUUGAGCUCUGUUUCGUCAAAAGAGCGAGCGACUUCAGGACGUCGCUCCAACGUGGUCGCUCCGAGAGGUAAGGCACAGCGACUUCAUCGUGUCGCUGCGGUUAGGUCGCUCCGGUGGGUUGCUCGUCCGCUGAUCACUUUAAACACUUCUUUUGAGCUCCAAAUGCACCCAAACGUCUCCAAGAACUCCAUGUGAUACUCCAAUACCUGAUAAGGACUCAUGUAUGCAAAAUGCAACCUAAACAUGACUAAAUCCUAAUCUAUAUGAUCAAAAUGCAUAUGGAUGGAUGGAUAAAACAAUGGAAAUAUGCAUGAUAU